UGAGUACGAGCUGCUACGGCAGCGAAGUGGGUGACGUCAAGCUUCCAAGAAAAGCCCUAUACCCGCUAAGGCAUGAUGGCCUGUACCCGAAACCGACACAGGUGGGGUGGUAGAGAAUACCGAGGGGCGCGAGGUAACUCUCUCUAAGGAACUCGGCAAAAUGGCCCCGUAACUUCGGGAGAAGGGGUGCCACCGCAAGGUGGUCGCAGUGAAGAGGCCCAGGCGACUGUUUACCAAAAACACAGGUCUCCGCUAAGUCGCAAGACGAUGUAUGGGGGCUGACGCCUGCCCAGUGCCGGAAGGUUAAGGAAGUUGGUCAGCGAAAGCGAAGCUAGCGACUGAAGCCCCGGUGAACGGCGGCCGUAACAAUAACGGUCCUAAGGUAGCGAAAUUCCUUGUCGGGUAAGUUCCGACCCGCACGAAAGGCGUAACGAUCUGGGCGCUGUCUCGGAGAGAGGCUCGGCGAAAUAGAAUUGUCUGUGAAGAUGCGGACUACGUGCACCCGGACAGAAAGACCCUAUGAAGCUUUACUGUAGCUUGGUAUUGUGCCCGGGCUCUGAAUGCGCAGGAUAGGUGGGAGGCUUUGAUCCAUGGCUUGCGGGUCAUGGUGAGCCAACGGUGAGAUACCACUCUUUCAGAGCUAGGGUUCUAACGGUCACCCGUUAUCCGGGGACCGGACAGUAUCUGGUGGGCAGUUUGACUGGGGCGGUCGCCUCCUAAAAGGUAACGGAGGCGCGCAAAGGUUUGCUCAGGCUGGUUGGAAAUCAGCCGACGAGUGUAAAAGCAGAAGCAAGCUUGACUGUGAGACCAACAAGUCGAACAGGGACGAAAGUCGGCUUUAGUGAUCCGACGGUUCUGAGUGGAAGGGCCGUCGCUCAACGGAUAAAAGUUACUCUAAGGAUAACAGGCUGAUCUCCCCCAAGAGUUCACAUCGACGGGGAGGUUUGGCACCUCGAUGUCGGCUCAUCGCAACCUGGGGCUGAAGUCGGUCCCAAGGGUUGGGCUGUUCGCCCAUUAAAGCGGUACGCGAGCUGGGUUCAGAACGUCGUGAGACAGUUCGGUCCAUAUCCGGUGCAUGCGCAGGAAUAUUGAGAGGAGUUCUCCCUAGUACGAGAGGACCGGGAGGAACGCACCUCUGGUGUACCAGUUAUUGUGCCAACGGUAAACGCUGGGUAGCCAUGUGCGGAGAGGAUAACCGCUGAAAGCAUCUAAGUGGGAAGCCCACCUCAAGAUGAGUAUUCCCAUGGCAUAAGCCAGUAAGGUCACGGGAAGAACACCCGUUGAUAGGCUCUACGUGGAAGCGCAGUAAUGCGUGAAGCGGAGGAGUACUAAUAGACCGAGGGCUUGACC
rnacentral:rRNA from 1 species